rnacentral:rRNA from 1 species
CGGGAGUUCUGAGUAAGGGCGUGUGGUGGAUGCCUUGACUGAAGAAGGCGAUGAAGGACGCGGUCUAGCUGCGAUAAGCCUCGGGGAGCUGCUUAGCAAGCUUCGAUCCGGGGAUCUCCGAAUGGGGUAACCCUAUCGAGUAAACCUCGAUAACUCUCAACUUAAACGCUUGAGAGAGCAUACCUUGGGAAGUGAAACAUCUCAGUACCAAGAGGAAAAGAGACCAACAGGCAUUCCCUUAGUAGCGGCGAGCGAAACGGGAGGAGCACAAACUCAGCCACAAAAUCGGAUCACGAGCAAUCGUGAAUCGAUUUUGUAGUUGGGGGUAUAGGCUACAGCGCUGGAAACAGGUGAAGUUACAAAAUGCUUAGAUAGUGGAACGAGCUGGGAAGCUCGACUCCAAAGGGUAAUAGUCCCGUACACGAAAUCAAAGCAUCUUCAUGGCUGUAGUUCUUGAGUAACUCGAGACAUGAAUAGCUCGGGUGAACACACCAGAACUAACUGGUAAUGCUACAUACUUCUUCAGAUCGAUAGUGAACAAGUACCGUGAGGGAAAGGUGAAAAGAACCCCGGUGAGGGGAGUGAAAUAGAUCUGAAACCACAUGUCUACAAGGAGUAGGAGCGGGCAGCAAUGUCCGCGACUGCGUGCCUAUUGAAGAAUGAGCCAACGAGUUGAUGCGUGCGGCUUGGCUAAGUCCUAUCGGAUGGAGCCGCAGCGAAAGCGAGUGUGAAUAGCGCGUUUGUCGCACGUAUCAGACCCGAAGCCGGGUGAGCUACCCAUGGCCAGGAUGAAGUUCGUAGAGAUACGGAUGGAGGUCCGAACUCAUAGGUUGUGCAACACCUCGGGAUGAGCUGUGGGUUGGAGUGAAAAGCUUAUCGAACCCGGUAAUAGCUGGUUUUCUCCGAAAGAGCUUUCGGGCUUGCGUCGUAUGUUCCCUCUGGGGGUAGAGCACUGGAAGAAGUGGAUAGGCCGCAAGGCCACUACUUCUAUCAAACUCCGAAUACCAGAGGUCAUAGUACGGCAGUUAGACGAUGGGGGCGAAGCUCCAUACGUCAAAAGGGAAACAGCCCAGACCGCCAGUUAAGGUCCCUAAAUUCAUGCUAAGUGCACUUAAGGAGGUGGAAUUUCUUAGACAGUCAGGAUGUUGGCUUAGAAGCAGCCACCAUUCAAAGAAAGCGUAACAGCUCACUGACUUAGAGAUUCUGCGCCGCAAAUGAUCGGGGCUAAGCAUGGUACCGAAACUGCGGAUUCGACACGUCUUCGGACGAGUCGAGUGGUAGGAGAACGUUCUGCUCGCGAUGAAGCCAAAGGGGUGACCCAUGGUGGAGCGUGUGGAAGUGAAAAUGUUGGCACGAGUAACCGCAAUGCGAGUGAGAUUCUCGCACGCCGAAAGAACAAGGUUUCCUUCGCAAUGGAGAUCAUCGAAGGGUUAGUCGGUCCUAAGCCAAUGGCGAACGCCGCAGGCGAUGGAUACACGGUUAAUAUUCCGUGACUUGUGUGUCGUGCGAUGGAGGGACGGAGAGCUGUACUUUGAGCCUCUUAUUGGAUUGAGGUCUUUCCGCUGAUUAUGUCAUAUAGGUAAAUCCGUAUGAUAAGUGAGAGGCGGAGGGAGAACUGGAGAUUCGUCGAAAGGAAUUCAAAGGAGCGCGCUUCCAAGAAAAACUUCUAAGCAUAACGACAUACAAACCGUACCGCAAACCGACACAGGUGUUCAGGGCGAGUAGCCCAAGGCGAACAAGUGAGAGAUCCCCAAGGAACUCGGCAAAAAAGCGACCGUACGUUAGCAAUAAGGUCCGCCCUUUCGUAGCAAUACGGCGGGGCCGCAGAGAAUUAUUCCCAGGCGACUGUUUACCAAAAACACAGCUCCCUGCAAACUCGUAAGAGGAAGUAUAGGGGGUGAUGCCUGACCAAUGCCGGAAGGUCAAGUGAGGUCGGUCUUCCAUAGCAAUAUGGAUUGCUGGCACUUCAUAAGCCCCGGUCAAUGUCGGCGAUAACUAUAAUCGUCCUAAGGUAGCGAAAUUCCUUGUCUGGUAAGUUCAGACGCGCACGAAUGGUAUAACGACUUGGGAACUGUCUCGGGGAUUUGCUUGGUGAAAAUACAAGGGCGGUGAAGAUGCCGCCUUCCUGCAGCUAGACGAAAAGACCCCAGAAGCUUUACUGUAAUUUGGUAUUGGGAUUACGGGUGCACUGCGUAGCGUAAGUGGGAGACUUUGAAGCGGAGGUUUCGGCCUUCGUGGAGUCGUCAAUGCAACACCACUCUUUGCAACUGUAGUUUCUAACCUCUCAUGAGAAACAUGAGAGAGACAGUACCUGAUGGACAGUUUCGGUGGGGCGCUGUCCUCCUAAAAAGUAACGGAGGAGCCUAUUAAGGUCACCUAGGCGCGAAUGGAAACCGUGCCGAUAGUGCAUUGGCAAAAGGUGGCUUGACUGCGAGUCGUACGUGACAAGCAGGCGCGAAAGCGGAGCAAAGUGAACCGACGGUCCGCAUUAGAUGCGACCGAAGAUUAACGGAUAAAAGUUACUCUGGGGAUAACAGGCUGGUAUUGCCUAAGAGUCCAAAUCGACGGCAAUGUUCGGCACCUCGAUGUCGGCUCAUCUUAUCCCGGGGGCGGAGAAGCUCCCAAGGGUAUGGCUGUUCGCCAUUUAAAAAGGUACGUGAGCUGGGUUCAAACCGUCGUGAGACAGGUUGGUCUUAAUCUGCUGCAGGCGUUGAUUCUUGAGGGGAUUUGUUUCUAGUACGAGAGGACCGAAAUGAACCGACCUCUGGUCUGGGGGCUGUCACGCCAGUGGCAACGCCCCGUAGCUAUGUCGGGAUCGGAUAACCGCUGAAAGCAUCUAAGCGGGAAACCAACCCCAAGAUUAGGAAUCGUUAUAGGGCCGUGGGAGAUGACCACGUUGAUAGGCGCCAGGUGCACGUGCAGUAAUGCACUUAGCCGAGGCGUACUAAUACCCCGACAGAACUCUCGAA